UACGAAGGGUGCAAGCGUUACUCGGAAUUACUGGGCGUAAAGCGUGCGCAGGCGGUUUUGUAAGCCAGAUGUGAAAUCCCCGGGCUCAACCUGGGAAUUGCAUUCGAUACUGGAUAGCUAGAGUUCGGCAGAGGGAAGCGGAAUUUCUGGUGUAGCGGUGAAAUGCGUAGAUAUCAGAAGGAACAUCAGUGGCGAAAGCGGCUUCCUGGACCAGAACUGACGAUCAGGCUCGAAAGCGUGGGGAGCAAACAGG
rnacentral:rRNA from 1 species